GCGCGGGUAGUUCAGCUUGGUUAGAAUCUGGGAUUGCCAAUUCUAGGACGCGGGUUCAAAUCCCGCUUCGCGCA
rnacentral:tRNA from 1 species